GCAAGUAUAGUUUAACCCAAACAUUAGACCGUGACUCUAAAAAUAGAAGUUAGACCCUUCUUACCUGCC
rnacentral:tRNA from 1 species